UAGGGAAUCUUCGGCAAUGGGGGCAACCCUGACCGGGCAACGCCGCGUGAGUGAAGAAGGUUUUCGGAUCGUAAAGCUCUGUUGUAAGAGAAGAACGUGUGUGAGAGUGGAAAGUUCACACAGUGACGGUAACUUACCAGAAAGGGACGGCUAACUACGUGCCAG
rnacentral:rRNA from 1 species